GACGUAGUGGCGGACGGGUGAGUAACGCGUGGGUAACCGUGCCUCAUACAGGGGAGUAACAGUGGAACGACUGCUAAGACCGCAUAACCCGCUAGUGUCGCAUGACACGGACGGAAAAUAUUUAUAGGUAUGAGAUGGGCCCGCGUCUGAUUAGCUAGUUGGUAAGGUAACGGCUUACCAAGGCGACGAUCAGUAGCCGACUUGAGAGAGUGAUCGGCCACAUUGGGACUGAGACACGGCCCAAACUCCUACGGGAGGCAGCAGUGGGGAAUAUUGGACAAUGGGGGAAACCCUGAUCCAGCGAACCGCCGCGUGAGUGAAGAAAUAUUUCGGUAUGUAAAGCUCUAUCAGCAGGGAAGAUAAUGACAGUACCUGACUAAGAAGCCCCGGCUAACUACGUGCCAGCCGCAGC
rnacentral:rRNA from 1 species